rnacentral:misc_RNA from 1 species
UACAGGGAGAGAUGACGCAGUGGGAAUUUUGGACAAUGGGGAAACCUGAUCCAGCCAUCCCGCGUGUGCGAUGAAGGCCUUCGGGUUGUAAAGCACUUUUGGCAGGAGGAAGAAACGGCGCAGGAUAAUACCUGAUACGGCGGCAGCCUGCAGAAUAAGCACCGGCUAACUACGUGCCAGCAGCCCCAUGACUGGCCACGUAAGUGCAAGCGUUAAUCGGAAUUACUGGGCGUAAAGCGUGCGCAGGCGGUUCGGAAGAAAGAUGUGAAAUCCCAGAGCUUAACUUUGGAACUGCAUUUUUAACUACCGAGCUAGAGUGUGUCAGAGGGAGGUGGAAUUCCACACGUGUAGCAGUGAAAUGCGUAGAUAUGCGGAGGAACACCGAUGGCGAAGGCAGCCUCCUGGGACACUGACGCUCAUGCACAGCGUGGGGAGCAAACAGGAUUAGAUACCCGGGUAG